rnacentral:rRNA from 1 species
GACGAACGCUGGCGGCGUGCUUAACACAUGCAAGUCGAGCGAGAAAGCUCCUUCGGGAGUGAGUACAGCGGCGAACGGGUGAGUAACACGUGGGUAACCUGCCUCAAGGAGCGGGACAACCCGGGGAAACUCGGGCUAAUACCGCAUGAAUCAUCGGUGCUCAAGCACUGAUGGGAAAUGGUAGCUUCGGCCUCCGCCUUGAGAUGGGCCCGCGGCGCAUUAGCUUGUUGGUGGGGUAACGGCCUACCAAGGCGACGAUGCGUAGCUGGUCUGGGAGGACGAUCAGCCACACGGGGACUGAGACACGGCCCAGACUCCUACGGGAGGCAGCAGUGGGGAAUCUUGCGCAAUGGGCGGAAGCCUGACGCAGCAACGCCGCGUGGGGGAAGACGGUCUUCGGAUUGUAAACCUCUUUCAGGGGGGACGAAGCUUCCGAGGUUAAUAGCCUACGGGGUGACGGUACCCCCAGAAGAAGCCCCGGCUAACUACGUGCCAGCCGCCGCAGUAACAC